UUGAACAAUUGGUACUGUGUUUUCAAUUACAGGAGAUGUGGUUGAGAUAUCUGACAGUGAAGAGGAGGAAGUGGUCAUACUUCAUCCAGAAACACAGGACAAAUCUUCUAAAAAUGCAGCAUCCAGUUCCAACCAGAAGGGGGCAGAAACGUCAAAACAAAGACAGAAAAAAUGAAAGCAAGAACUCCUUGAACUGUAUAUAAGGCUCAGACACUGCACCAUGUCUUCAUAAGGAAGACCGAGGUCCUGGAUAAGUAAUUAUAAUGGCUGUGAAUUGGGAUCAAAUAGAUGCUACAGAAACACUUUGAUUCGGUGAUAGUUAAGUUCUUGUUUGUAGCCCUUUGAAUGGAUACAAAAAAACGUACUGCGCUUGUAUAGAACAUGUUGUCAAAAAUGUUUAAACAAUAAAAAUAUGUAAAAGGUCUUUGAUGAUAUUGAAUUCAGAAAAUUCUUCUCACCACAGUUUGAUGUUAAGCAACCAUUUACAUUUGCAAACUGAUGGAUUUUGUGAGCAAAAAAGACAACUGUGUUGUUCAAUGUGAAACAAAAUAAAAAUGGAAAUACAUAAAUAUU